CGCUUGCCUGACCCGCUGUUUAUUUUUGUCCGUUUUCAACUUGGAGCCGUCUCAAAAGCAAGCUACGAACGGACUGCUCGGCAGCUCGCUUGGAGAAGGCACAACCAGCUCUCGACGGAGCGCGGCCUGCAGUCAGCACCGGGCAGAAGGCACCGGCUGGCCCCUUCCGCAGGACCAGCGGCGGCAGCGCGGGCCGGGCCGCGACGCCGGCCCCCAGGUUUCGGUUAGACCGCAACAGGAAGUUUUCUCUUCCCUUGCGGGAAGCCGUGCAACCAAAGAGAAAUUUGAACUCCCACUCCCGCGGGAGCACCCAGAGAUUCGGCUUAGGUGACGCUUCUCCUCGGCACCCAGUUAUCGGACUCCCUGUUGUGACCUCCUUGGCGGCUUCCCCAAUAUUUUGGGGUCCUUGGAGAGCUGGAGUGGUGGCCUGUUGCCGUGUAUGGACCCAAUCUGGGAUACCACUUUAAACUAGUGAGAUCUUUAUUGAAGGCAUUUUCAGGAAUGGAGGGAAAUGAAAAAGACAAAAUCAUUUUCCUUUCUCUUGAAGACUGAACAAAAUGCACGAGGAUUUGGUAAAUGGCAAAUGGCUUUGACCCCUUUUGGUCCUGCUCAUUAACUAUCUGGUGUUAGCACCUGCCUCCCCUUGGUUGUUUCCCUUCACUGUCCAUUUCCUAGCAGGUGGCAGUGACCCACUGUGGCGUAGGAUUGAUCCAGCUGUACACCUAAAGCCUGGUGUCUGCUCUCAUAGCCGUGGGCCCCACACCCGUUGCACUAAAUGUGAGUUUCUUGAGCGCAGGGGAGCCCUCUUACCGCUCCCAAGUCCAUUAGAGCAGUGGUUACAAUUUGGUGGUCAAAAGCAGGGCUGUGAAACGAGACUCCUGGGUUUAAACCCUGCCUCUACUUUUUGACUUUCAGCAAAGGCUUUCACCUUUAAGUUUCCCUUUUCUCAUUCCCAUUUUGCAGUGAGGAAAUGAGUGUUGUAGUGAGGUUUACAUUUUAUAGUUGUCAGAGAUCAUAGGGAAGAGGGCCCGGUACAGAAUAAGCGCUUAGUAAAUGUUACCUGUUAUUAUCACUGUGUUUCAGAAACCAUGGGUGGCUCAGUCUCCCAACUGGGUGGUGAAGAAAUCACCAAAACUCAAUGUUAGAGCAAAAGCAUAAGGAAGUCAAACUUUUAUUUAUUGUCCACAAGAGGAUGAGAGUUGUAAGGAAGACCAUUCUAUUGGUAAAAGGAAAGAACUAUGAAACUUGGUAAUAGGAUUCUAGAAAGCAAAGAAAAUGAAAAUGUUCACUACUGCAAAUCAUGCGGGGCAAAGGUCACACUAAUCCUCUUCGUGUGGGUCCAAUUUUAAUAUAUUUGUGGCUGAAGUGAGCACAGUUCUCAUCACCAUCUUAAGCUUAGCUCAAGUUUAAGCAAUGAAUAAACAGGAAAGAUGCCCUAAUUUGUAGAGAUUAAUUUUAUAGGGACCAUCACGAGCACUUCAAUUAGGUUUCUAAAGAAAAAAAGCAUAUUGCAUAAUAACUUUUAU